rnacentral:rRNA from 1 species
AAAGCCUAGUAACUCUAUCAUAAAUAGAAUUAAUACAUUAUUUAUAGUUGGCGAUCGGCGAUAUUCUUCGGCUCGAGAGUGACGUUGCUUGGGAACGCAGCCCAAAGCGGAUGAUAAUCUCCAUCCAAGGCUAAAUACGGGAACGAGUCCGAUAGCCGACAAGUACCGCGAGGGAAAGCUGAAAAGAACUUCAGAGAGAGAGUUGAGUUUAAGAGACCAUGUAACCGCCAAGAGGUGCUGCCCUCGACUCGAACGA